AAAGGUGAAAAGAACCCCGGGAGGGGAGUGAAAUAGAUCCUGAAACUAUGUGCCUACAAAGAAUGGGAGCUCUUCGGAGUGACCAUGUGCCUUUUGGAGAAGGAACCAACGACUUACGUAUAUGUGGCAAGGUUAAGGCAGAUACAGCCGGAGCCGUAGGGAAACCAAGUCUGAAUAGGGCGAUCAGUCACGUAUAGUAGACCCGAAACCCGUGUGAGCUACUCAUGAGCAGGCUGAAGGUGAGGUACAACUUACUGGAGGGCCGAACCAAUUAGAGCUGCAAGUCUAUUGGAUGACUUGUGAGUAGGAGUGAAAAGCUAAUCGAACCGGGAGAUAGCUGGUUCUCCGCGAAAUAUAUUUAGGUAUAGCGUAUAAUAGUAACAGAGAGGGGUAGGGCUCUGAUAAGACUAGCGGGUCUAUCCGACUUAGCAAAUCUUGAUAAACUUCGAAUACUCUCUGCGCAAAUAUUAUACAGUCGGACAGUGACGGAUAAGCGCCAUUGUCAAAAGGGAAACAGCCCAGAUUCCUGUCUAAGGUCCCCAAGUUAUAACUCAGUGGAAAAGGAUGUGCGAUUACUAAGACAGCCAGGAUGUUGGCUUAGAAGCAGCCACUCAUUCAAAGAGUGCGUAAUAGCUCACUGGUCGAGUGAUUGUGCGCCGAAGAUUCAGCGGGGCUUAAGUUAUACACCGAAGACGGAAGAUCAAUAUUUAAUUAUGGAUCGGUAGCGGAGCGUUCUGUAGGCCUGUGAAGCAGUCGGAUAACCGACUGUGGAGGUAUCAGAAGUGCAAAUGUUGGUAUGAGUAACGUAAUGGAGGUGAAAACCCUCCACACCGAAUACCCAAGGUUUCCUGUCCUACGUCAGUCGUGGCAGGGUUAGUCGGUCCUAAGGGGCAGCCGAAAGGCGUUACCUGAUGGAUAUCUGGUUAAUAUUCCAGAACUUUAUAUGAAAGGUUAUUACCUAUGUGGAGACGCAUCUCAAGUAUUGGACACGGUCAUGAAUACCCGUGAAGAGUGUUGCUUUUGGUUAUGCAGGCAAAUCCGCAUAACAAUACAGGAGUAGCAUGAUUGCAUAGAAAACAAAGCUUCGGCAGAGUCGACUAUGCUCCUACAAUAUAAGGGUGCCAAGAAAACCCACUAUGGGACGAUCAUAUAGAACCGUACCGAAAUCGAACACUCGUGGGUGGGUGUGAGUACACUAAGGUGGACGGGAUAACUAGGCUUAAGGAACUCUGCAAAACAGCGGUCGUAACUUCGGGAUAAGACCUGCCUCCCUGCCACUUAUGCAGGAGGCCGCAGCGAACGAGUCCAGGCGACUGUUUACCAAAAACACAGCUCUCUGCUAAAUCGCAAGAUGAUGUAUAGGGGGUGAUGCCUGUCCGGUGCCAGAAGAUUACGGGGAGGGGUGCAAGCUCUGAACUUAAGUCCUGGUGAACGGCGGCCGUAACUAUAACGGUCCUAAGGUAGCGAAAUUCCUUGUCGGGUAAGUUCCGACCCGCACGAACGGCAUAACGAUCUGGACACUGUCUCAAGCCUAGGCCCGGUGAAAUUGCAAUAUCGGUAAAAAUGCCGAUUACUCGCAGCAAGACGGAAA
rnacentral:rRNA from 1 species